UGUCUAAAGCUUCCAAAUGUGUUUCCCAGCCUCUCCCACACCAUGCCGAGCCCUUCAAGCGCAGGGACUGGAUCUGUGUCUCAUCCAUUUUUGUGACUAGCACAAAGUUGUGUUCAAUGGAUAUUUGUUGCAGUAAUAGUACUAAGUGGAAGACACAGAAAUGAAGAAGCAGGGAAGAAUGGUUGUGGAGCUUCCCUCCAAUAUCGGGUCAGAGCUCAGUGACAUACAUUAAAGAGAAUAUCAGUGAUGUGGAUUAACACAACAAAAAGGUCCUCAAUAUCUGCUGAAAAGACCGCAGGUAAAAAGCAGGCAAGAUACCGUGAGACCACUGCCCUUAUGCAGGAGAUGGAGGACACACAGACACGGGACCACCACAAGAGAAACUGUCCACCACCAAGAAAUAAAAAUGAUACAUCCCCG